rnacentral:rRNA from 1 species
CAGCCGCCGCGGUAAUACGUAGGUGGCAGACGUUGUCCGGAAUUAUUGGGCGUAAAGGGCUCGCAGGCGGUUUCUUAAGUCUGAUGUGAAAGCCCCCGGCUCGACCGGGGAGGGUCAUUGGAAACUGGGAAACUUGAGUGCAGAAGAGGAGAGUGGAAUUCCACGUGUAGCGGUGAAAUGCGUAGAGAUGUGGAGGAACACCAGUGGCGAAGGCGACUCUCUGGUCUGUAACUGACGCUGAGGAGCGAAAGCGUGGGGAGCGAACAGGAUUAGAUACCCGGGUAGUCCCUGUCUCUUAUAC